AGAGUUUGAUCAUGGCUCAGAUUGAACGCUGGCGGCAGGCCUAACACAUGCAAGUCGAACGGUAACAUUUCUAGCUUGCUAGAAGAUGACGAGUGGCGGACGGGUGAGUAAUGCUUGGGAACUUGCCUUUGCGAGGGGGAUAACAGUUGGAAACGACUGCUAAUACCGCAUAACGUCUACGGACCAAACGGGGCUUAGGCUCCGGCGCAAAGAGAGGCCCAAGUGAGAUUAGCUAGUUGGUAAGGUAAUGGCUUACCAAGGCAACGAUCUCUAGCUGUUCUGAGAGGAAGAUCAGCCACACUGGAACUGAGACACGGUCCAGACUCCUACGGGAGGCAGCAGUGGGGAAUAUUGCACAAUGGGGGAAACCCUGAUGCAGCCAAGCCGCGUGUGUGAAGAAGGCCUUCGGGUUGUAAAGCACUUUCAGUUGUGAGGAAAAGUUAGUAGUUAAUACCUGCUAGCCGUGACGUUAACAACAGAAGAAGCACCGGCUAACUCCGUGCCAGCAGCCGCGGUAAUACGGAGGGUGCGAGCGUUAAUCGGAAUUACUGGGCGUAAAGCGCACGCAGGCGGUUUGUUAAGCUAGAUGUGAAAGCCCCGGGCUCAACCUGGGAUAGUCAUUUAGAACUGGCAGACUAGAGUCUUGGAGAGGGGAGUGGAAUUCCAGGUGUAGCGGUGAAAUGCGUAGAUAUCUGGAGGAACAUCAGUGGCGAAGGCGACUCCCUGGCUCAAGACUGACGUUCAUGUGCGAAAGUGUGGGUAGCGAACAGGAUUAGAUACCCUGGUAGUCACACCGUANACGCUGUCUACUAGCUGUUUGUGACUUUAAGUCG
rnacentral:rRNA from 1 species